AACGCACAUGGCACUGCUUCGGCAGUAUGCCUGUUUGAGUAUCAGCAAACCCUCCCAACAGCCUUGUGCUGUCGGGGAUGUGACCCGUAGACGUGUCUCACGCCGUCUCAGGUUGAAAUGAAGGAAGAGGGCGCAUGGAUUUUGUGCCACGACAGAGCUAGUCUGUUGCAGACGCACCUGUCCACGGCCAGUCCAUGGGCUACCUCUCAUCCAAACCCCAUAUCUCAUUCAUGAUCUCAAAUCAGGCAAGAGUACCCGCUGAACUUAA
rnacentral:misc_RNA from 1 species